GACGAACGCUGGCGGCGUGCUUAACACAUGCAAGUCGAACGGAAAGGCCCUGCUUGCAGGGUACUCGAGUGGCGAACGGGUGAGUAACACGUGGGUGAUCUGCCCUGCACUUCGGGAUAAGCCUGGGAAACUGGGUCUAAUACCGGAUAGGAGCCAUUUUUAGUGUGAUGGUUGGAAAGUUUUUUGGGUGUAGGAUGAGCUCGCGGCCUAUCAGCUUGUUGGUGGGGUAAUGGCCUACCAAGGCGGCGACGGGGAGCCGGCCCGAGAGGGUGGACGGCCACAUUGGGACUGAGAUACGGCCCAGACGCCUACGGGGGGCAGGAGGGGGGAAAUUUUGACAAAUGGGGCAAGCCUGAUGCAGGGACGCCGCGUGGGGGAUGACGGCCUUCGGGUUGUAAACUCCUUUCGCUAGGGACGAAGCUUUUUGUGACGGUACCUAGAUAAGAAGCACCGGCUAACUACGUG
rnacentral:rRNA from 1 species